rnacentral:rRNA from 1 species
UACGUAGGUGACAAGCGUUGUCCGGAUUUACUGGGCGUAAAGAGCGCGCAGGCGGUCGUUCAAGUCGAGUGUGAAAGCCCCCGGCUCAACUGGGGAGGGUCACUCGAUACUGAUCGACUCGAAGGCAGGAGAGGGAAGUGGAAUUCCCGGUGUAGUGGUGAAAUGCGUAGAUAUCGGGAGGAACACCCGUGGCGAAGGCGGCUCCUGGGGCCAUCCUGACACCUGAGAAGCGAAAGCUAGGGGAGCGAACGGG